AUUGAACGCUGGCGGCAGGCCUAACACAUGCAAGUCGAGCGAGUGGCGGACGGGUGAGUAAUGCUUGGGAAUCUAGCUUAUGGAGGGGGAUAACUACGGGAAACUGUAUCUAAUACCGCGUACCAUAGGAUGAGCCCAAGUGGGAUGAGGUAGUUGGUGAGGUAACGGCUCACCAAGCCGACGAUCUCUAGCUGGUCUGAGAGGAUGACCAGACACAAUGGGACUGAGACACGGCCAAGACGCCCACGGGAGGCAGCAGUGGGGAAUAUUGCGCAAUGGGGGCAAGCCUGAGGCAGACAUGCGGCGGGAAGGAAGAAGGCCUUCGGGUUGUAAAGUACUUUAAGCGAGGAGGCGUGACUGGAAGAAGAAGCACCGGCUAACUCCGUGCCAGCCGCGGCGGUAAUAC
rnacentral:rRNA from 1 species